rnacentral:rRNA from 1 species
CCUGGCUCACGAUGAACGCUAGCUACAGGCUUAACACAUGCAAGUCGAGGGGCAGCAUGGUCUUAGCUUGCUAAGACUGAUGGCGACCGGCGCACGGGUGAGUAACACGUAUCCAACCUGCCGUCUACUCUUGGACAGCCUUCUGAAAGGAAGAUUAAUACAAGAUGGCAUCAUGAGUCCGCAUGUUCACAUGAUUAAAGGUAUUCCGGUAGACGAUGGGGAUGCGUUCCAUUAGAUAGUAGGCGGGGUAACGGCCCACCUAGUCUUCGAUGGAUAGGGGUUCUGAGAGGAAGGUCCCCCACAUUGGAACUGAGACACGGUCCAAACUCCUACGGGAGGCAGCAGUGAGGAAUAUUGGUCAAUGGGCGAGAGCCUGAACCAGCCAAGUAGCGUGAAGGAUGACUGCCCUAUGGGUUGUAAACUUCUUUUAUAAAGGAAUAAAGUCGGGUAUGGAUACCCGUUUGCAUGUACUUUAUGAAUAAGGAUCGGCUAACUCCGUGCCAGCAGCCGCGGUAAUACGGAGGAUCCGAGCGUUAUCCGGAUUUAUUGGGUUUAAAGGGAGCGUAGAUGGAUGUUUAAGUCAGUUGUGAAAGUUUGCGGCUCAACCGUAAAAUUGCAGUUGAUACUGGAUAUCUUGAGUGCAGUUGAGGCAGGCGGAAUUCGUGGUGUAGCGGUGAAAUGCUUAGAUAUCACGAAGAACUCCGAUUGCGAAGGCAGCCUGCUAAGCUGCAACUGACAUUGAGGCUCGAAAGUGUGGGUAUCAAACAGGAUUAGAUACCCUGGUAGUCCACACGGUAAACGAUGAAUACUCGCUGUUUGCGAUAUACAGCAAGCGGCCAAGCGAAAGCGUUAAGUAUUCCACCUGGGGAGUACGCCGGCAACGGUGAAACUCAAAGGAAUUGACGGGGGCCCGCACAAGCGGAGGAACAUGUGGUUUAAUUCGAUGAUACGCGAGGAACCUUACCCGGGCUUAAAUUGCAGAUGAAUUACGGUGAAAGCCGUAAGCCGCAAGGCAUCUGUGAAGGUGCUGCAUGGUUGUCGUCAGCUCGUGCCGUGAGGUGUCGGCUUAAGUGCCAUAACGAGCGCAACCCUUGUUGUCAGUUACUAACAGGUUCCGCUGAGGACUCUGACAAGACUGCCAUCGUAAGAUGUGAGGAAGGUGGGGAUGACGUCAAAUCAGCACGGCCCUUACGUCCGGGGCUACACACGUGUUACAAUGGGGGGUACAGAGGGCCGCUACCACGCGAGUGGAUGCCAAUCCCAAAAACCUCUCUCAGUUCGGACUGGAGUCUGCAACCCGACUCCACGAAGCUGGAUUCGCUAGUAAUCGCGCAUCAGCCACGGCGCGGUGAAUACGUUCCCGGGCCUUGCACACACCGCCC